rnacentral:rRNA from 1 species
UAGAGGAAGCUUGCUUCCUUGAGACCGGGCGCACGGGUGCGUAACGCGUAUACAAUCUACCUUUACAGAGGGAUAGCCCAGAAGAAAUUUGGAUUAUACCUCAUAGUAUUUUCGAAUCGCAUGAUUUGAUUAUUAAAAGUUCCAACGGUAAAAGAUGAGUAUGCGUCCCAUUAGCUAGAUGGUAAGGUAACGGCUUACCAUGGCUACGAUGGGUAGGGGUCCUGAGAGGGAGAUCCCCCACACUGGUACUGAGACACGGACCAGACUCCUACGGGAGGCAGCAGUGAGGAAUAUUGGACAAUGGGCGCAAGCCUGAUCCAGCCAUGCCGCGUGCAGGAAGAAGGUCCUAUGGAUUGUAAACUGCUUUUAUACAGGAAGAAACACCUCUACGUGUAGAGACUUGACGGUACUGUAUGAAUAAGGACCGGCUAACUCCGUG